AGCCUGUGAUAAGCACGACUGCACUGCUGGAAGUCACAUUGUUUGUGACGAUUUCAUGUUACCAUGAAAAGAAAUUGUUUUCAGGGAGAAUAGAAUGGAAAAAGUAUGGCCGGGACACAUGCUGCAUUGCAGUAAGCAAUUAGCAGAAUACAUGCCAAGUAAGUGAUCUGCACCGAGACAGAAACUGUCAAAACCUACAAGCUACAUAAAAGGACCUUCAGGUAAUUGCCUAGCCGUUCUUUUAGUUCUCUGUGUUUCAAAUAGCAUCCCAUCUAGGUGACAACACCAACUACAACACUGCUUAGCAGCCACAGAAGUUUAUGACAAGGCUGUUUACUUAUUUUGUCAGGUACCAGAGUUUUAUUGAUCGAGUAACCAAAAAAAUUAUAGUGCACUUCUGAGUGUUUUAAAAUCCUUAGAUGAAGACAGGUUUUAUUGGUUUUGUUUUAUAGAUGCAAGAUGGAGGUCAAAGCAAUUCCACAUUCCAAAGAACCUUAAAUUUAUGCCUGAAUGUGCAGUUUGACCCUAGAGCUUCAAGGUCUCACAUCCCAAAGAGCUUUGUUCACUGGACUAUGAUAGCUAUUGAGAGUUUUGAAUGGAUGGUAUUACACAAGUGGCACACAGUUAUUAUUGUUUUCUUGUCUUUUCUUUUUUCUUUUUCUUUUUCUUUUUUUUUUUGGAGCAAGAGAGUUACCUGUUUCCAUUUUGCCAUCCAAAGCUGCAGGACCGUCAAGCACCAAACUCUUGAUCUGAAGAAACUCAUCUGGUUCAUCUCCACCAACAACGGUAAAGCCAAA